rnacentral:lncRNA from 1 species
AUCUCAGACAAGUCACUCAUAGAAUUCUUCUAUGGAGGUUUGCUACCAUCUGAAAGGAGAUUUAUUGAUGUGGCAUGUGGAGGUUCCAUUGCAGAUAAGACACCUAGGGAGAUGAGAGAGUUGAUCUCAACACUUGCAGCCUCAUCUAGGCAAUAUGGAGAAGAAAAGCAACUGCAGAGAGAAGCAAAUGAGGUAAGUACAUCUACUCUUUCCUCUCAAAUUUCUGAACUGACCUCUGUUAUGAAAAUUUUUGUCAUAGGUCGAACUCAACAGGCUCAGACACCUCAACCACCACCUCAGCCAUGUGGGAUUUGUGCAUAUGUAGG